rnacentral:rRNA from 1 species
GAUGAACGCUAGCGGCGUGGAUAAGGCAUGCAAGUCGAACGCCUCAUUUCAUUUCGGCGUAAACUUCUUCGGGAGCUUGCUCCGAGCGAAGCGAGGAGUGGCGAACGGGUUAGUAACACGUGGGUAAUGAACCCCAGAGACGGGCAUAACCUGGAGAAAUUCAGGCUAAUUCCCGAAGUCCCUUUCUGGCAAAAGUUAGGAAGGAUAAAUGGAAGCUUCGGCAACCGCUCUAGGAUCAGUCCGCGGCUUAUCAGCUUGUUGAUGAGGUAAUGACUCACCAAGGCUAUGACGGGUAGGGGACAUGAGAGUGUGUUCCCCAACAAUAGCUCUGCGACACGGGCUAUACUCCUACGGGAGGCAGCAGUCGAGAAUAAUUCGCAAUGGGCGAAAGCCUGACGAUGCGACGCCGCGUGCUCGAAGAAUCCCUUCGGGGUGUAAAGAGCUUUUCUGGAGGAAGAACCUUCGGGUGACGGUACUCCAGGAAUAAAGGGAUACUAAUCACGUGCCAGCAGUAGCGGUAAUACGUGAUCCCUAAGCGUUAUCCGGAUUUAUUGGGCGUAAAGCGUUCGUAGGCGGUUAGGUAAGUUUUUGGUUAAAGCCCCAUGGCUUAACUAUGGGAAUGCCAGAGAUACUGCCUAACUAGAGGGCGUUAGAGGCUGGCGGAACGGUCGGUGUAGGGGUGAAAUCCGUUGAUAUCGACCGGAACACCGAAAGCGAAGGCAGCCAGCUGGAACGACCCUGACGCUGAGGAACGAAAGCGUGGGUAGCAAAAAGGAUUAGAUGCCCUUGUAGUCCACGCUGUAAACGAUGGACACUGGCUAUUUGAAGUGUCGACCCUUCAAGUGGCGAAGCUAACGCGUUAAGUGUCCCGCCUGGGAAGACGGCCGCAAGGCU